UCCUAGGUACAAUAUAUAUGUGCAGAAGCAAACAGUUCUCUUGUUGCACAGGAAGAAUUGGAUUCAGAAGGUAAAAAUAACCCGGGAAGAAAAACAAAAAUGCAAACAGUUUACAUUCAUUUUCCAGUGUUCUUUCUUUGGGUGUAGCUGCUUCUGUCCAUUGUUGAUCAAUUGAAACUGAGUUAGAUUUUCUCUUUGUCGAAGAAAUCCACUUCCAUCACAAUACAUCCUCAUACAUUAUUGUUGUUGAAGUAUAUAAUGAUCUCCUGGUUCUGCUCAUUUUACUUAGCAUCAGUUCAUGUAAAUCUCUCCAAGCUUCUCUGUAUUCAUCCUGCUGGUCAUUUCUUACAGAACAAUAAUAUUCCAUAACAUUCAUGUACCACAAUUUACCCAACCAUUCUCCAAUUGAUGGACAUCCAUUCAUUUUCCAGUUUCUAGCCACUACAAACAGGGCUGCCACAAACAUUUUGGCACAUACAGGUACCUUUCCCUUCUUUAGUAUCUCUUUGGGAUAUAAGCCCAGUAGUAGCACUGCUGGAUCAAAGGGUAUGCACAGUUUGAUAACUUUUUAAGCAUAGUUCCAAACUACUCUCCAGAAUGGUUGGAUUCGUUCACAACUCCACCAACAAUGCAUCAGUGUCCCAGUUUUCCCACAUCCCCUCCAACAUUCAUCAUUAUUUUUUUGUGUCAUCUUAGCUAAUCUGAUAGGUGUAUAGUGGUAUCUCAGUGUUGUCUUAAUUUGCAUUUCUCUGAUUAAUAAUGACUUGGAGCAUCUUUUCAUAUGACUAGAAAUAGUUUCAAUUUCAUCAUCUGAAAAUUGUCUGUUCAUAUCCUUUGACCAUUUGUCAAUUGGAGAAUAGCUUAAUUUCUUAUAAAUUAGAGUCAAUUCUCUAUAUAUUUUGGAAAUGAGGCCUUUAUCAGAACCUUUAACUGUGAAAACGUUUUCCCAGUUUGUUGCUUCCCUUCUAAUCUUGUUUGAAUUAGUUUUGUUUGUACAAAGGCUUUUUAAUUUGAUGUAAUCAAAAUUUUCUAUUUUGUGAUCAGUAAUGGUCUCUAGUUCAUCUUUGGUCACAAAUUUCUUCCUCCUCCACAAGUCUGAGAGAUAAACUAUCCUAUGUUCCUCUAAUUUAUUUAUAAUCUUGUUCUUUAUGCCUAAAUCAUGGACCCAUUUUGAUCUUAUCUUAGUAUAUGGGGUUAAGUGUGGGUCCAUGCCCAUGGACACUAAUUUCUGUCACACUAAUUUCCAGUUAUCCCAGCAGUUUUUGUCAAAUAAUGAAUUCUUAUCCCAAAAGUUAGGAUCUUUGCAUUUGGCAUACACUAGAUUGUUUUAGUUGACUAUUUUGUCUUGUGAACCUAAACUAUUCCACUGAUCAACUAAUCUAUUUCUUAGUCAAUACCAAAUGGUUUUAGUGACUGCUGCUUUAUAAUAUAGUUUUAGAUCAGGUACAGCUAGUGUGCAUAACCUUUCAUCCAGCAGUGUCUCACUGAGCCUAUAUCCCAAAGAGAUCAUAAAGGAGGAAAAGGGACCCACAUGUGCAAAAAUGUUUGUGACAGCCCUUUUUGUAGUGGCAAGAAACUGGAAAUUAAGUGGAUGCCCAUCAACUGGAGAAUUACUGAAUAAGUUAAGGCAUAUGAAUGUUAUGCAGUAGUAUUGUUCUAUAAGAAAUGAUCAGCAGGAUGAUUUCAGAGAGGCCUAGAAAGACUUUCAUGAACUAAGUGAAAUGAGCAGAAUCAGGAGAUCAUUGUACAUGGCAACAAGAUUAUGCAAUGAUCAAUUCUGAUGGUCAUGGCUCUUUUCAAUAAUGAAUAAUUGUUCUCUAGGACAUCCAGUUUGAAAGGUUCAAUAGGCAAAUAUUGAUUCAAGACUGAAACUCAGGGAAGAGACUAGGG
ensembl:lncRNA